UACGGGGGGGGUAAGCGUUGUUCGGAAUUACUGGGCGUAAAGGGCUCGUAGGCGGCCAACUAAGUCAUACGUGAAAUCCCUCAGCUUAACUGGGGAACUGCGUGUGAUACUGGAUGGCUUGGAUUUGGGAGAGGGAUGCGGAAUUCCAGGUGUAGCGGUGAAAUGCGUAGAUAUCAGGAGGAACACCGGUGGCGAAGGCGGGUCUCUGGGCCGUAACUGACGCUGAGGAGCGAAAGCAUGGGGAGCGAACAGG
rnacentral:rRNA from 1 species